rnacentral:rRNA from 1 species
GACGAACGCUGGCGGCGUGCUUAACACAUGCAAGUCGAACGAUGAAGUCAGCUUGCUGGUGGGUUAGUGGAGAACGGGGGAGUAACACGCGGGUGAGCUGCCCCAAACUUUGGGAUAAGCCUGGGAAACUGGGUCUAAUACCGAAUAUGACCGAUACUCGCAUGGGAGAUGGGGGAAAGCCCCGGCGGUUUGGGAUGGGCCCGCGGCCUAUCAGCUUGUUGGUGGGGUAAUGGCCUACCAAGGCGACGACGGGUAGCCGGCCUGAGAUGGCGACCGGCCACGCUGGGACUGAGACGCGGCCCAGACUCCUCUGGGAGGCAGCAGUGGGGAAUAGUGCACUAUGGGCGCAAGCCUGAUGCAGCGACGCCGCGUGGGGGAUGACGGCCUUCGGGUUGUAAUCCUCUUUCACCAGGGACGAAGCGAAAGUGACGGUACCUGGGGAAGAAGCACCGGCCAACUACGUG